UACAGAGGGUGCGAGCGUUAAUCGGAAUUACUGGGCGUAAAGCGUGCGUAGACGGCUAUCUAAGUCGGGUGUGAAAGCCCCGGGCUCAACCUGGGAAUUGCAUUUGUGACUGCACGGCUAGAGUGUGUCAGAGGGGGUAGAAUUCCACGUGUAGCAGUGAAAUGCGUAGAGAUGUGGAGGAAUACCGAUGGCGAAGGCAGCCCCCUGGGAUAACACUGACGCUCAUGCACGAAAGCGUGGGGAGCAAACAGG
rnacentral:rRNA from 1 species